rnacentral:rRNA from 1 species
UACGUAGGGGGCAAGCGUUGUCCGGAUUUAUUGGGCGUAAAGAGCGUGUAGGCGGUUUGGUAGGUCCGCUGUGAAAACUCGAGGCUCAACCUCGAGACGCCGGUGGAAACCAUCAGACUAGAGUCCGGAAGAGGAGAGUGGAAUUCCGUGGUGUAGCGGUGAAUGCGCAGAUAUCAGGAGAACACCGUGCGAAGGCGGACUCUGGCGAUACUGACGCUGAGGAGCGAAGCGUGGGGAGC